rnacentral:rRNA from 1 species
GGUUGUGCCUUGGUCAGUCGUCAGAGAGUUUGUAGUCCUGGCGUCAGGAGUGAACGCUGGCGGCGUCGCUUAACACAUGCAAGUCGAAUGUAGCAAUACAUGGCGGACGGGUGAGUAACGCGUGAGCAAUCCUGCCCAUAUCUGGGGGAGUAACAAGUUGGAAACGACUGAUAAUACCGCAUAAUAUGGUUUGAAGGCAUCUUCGAACCAUCAAAGAUUUAUCGGAUAUGGAUGAGCUCGCGUCUGAUUAGCUAGUUGGUGAGGUAACGGCUCACCAAGGCGACGAUCAGUAGCCGACCUCGAGAGGGUGGAUCGGCCACAUUGGAACUGAGACACGGUCCAAACUCCUACGGGGGGGCAGCAGUGGGGGAAUAUUGGGCAAUGGAGGAAACUCUGACCCAGCAACGCCGCGUGAAUGAUGAAGGUCUUCGGAUUGUAAAGUUCUUUUCUAAGGGAAGAAGAAAGUGACGGUACCUUAGGAAUAAGCCUCGGCUAACUACGUG